rnacentral:lncRNA from 1 species
GCGACUCCUGAUAUAAUCAGUUUCAAAUUCUUUGUACGAUUUCAUCUUAGCCAUUUACUCCUUUUCUACGGUCAUGAUUCCAACAUCGCUUCGGUAGCUGACACGAUCUGAAGCACGGCUCCCGAUAUAAUCAAUUUCAAAUUCUCUGUACGGUUUUGUCUCAGCCGUUCAUUUCUUUUCUACGGCCAUGAUCCCGCCAUCUUCUUUUGUCUUAUAUGCGGCAUUAAUUAGGUCAUCUUAAUUGCCGCCGUCUUUUCAUCAUUAUAGCCAAUCUCGGGAAACGAUUUCGAUGCGACGACUCCUUUUUUUCUUCGCCAAGCUUCUCAUUCCCUUUUAUACUCAGACCUCGUCUUCCUCGCUUUCUCUUUGCUUCUCUUCGUCUUCUCCGACCUCUUCUUCAUCUCUACUCUCCAGCUUGGCCCACUUUCUUCUUCUUGAUACUUCGAAUUUUUCUUCAUCCUUCACCAAUGGCGCUGCUUCCGUUUCCGACACUGUAUUAUACCCUACUUAAACCAUACCUCUCUUCGGACCCUACUAGAUUCAUCUUAGGUCCCUCCUUUACUGAAGAACCGGCUUCUGACGAUUUCCCUUAUUUCAGCGACG